UUAAUACAAAUACUUCAAACAUAUGGGAGAUAAGUAAGAUACUUUGUUGGAGUAAAAUAUAUGUCACAAUUUAUAAAUUUGCAACGCCGGAAAAGCUUUAAAGAGUUUUUGGACCGUUUUAAUUCAAUCAUAGUAAUUACACCAUAUUUAACUGAGCUCAAAUUUCGGACAAUUGACUUCGGACAUUUAAUAAAUAUAAAAAAAUGCAUAAAAAAUGAAUAAAAGAUGAAAAACACUCUAUAAUUUUUUGUUGCGUCUGAAGCGCUUUUUCUGGAAGAGUCUUCAUCUGGAACGAUCAAUCAAACGAUUGAAAGCCAAUGAUGUUUAGUUGAUAAAGACGUAAGCUAUAUGAUGAACAGGGACAUAAAAGGAAUAGAUAGAUUUAUCACAGGAGAAUUUUGCCUGUUAAAGUUGGAACGUUAUUGUCUUCAUCAUUACUAUACUUGUCAAAGGAAAAAGUAAAAAAGAGUGUUUAUCAUUUACGAGAUUUGAACAUCAGUAAACUUCUGUCGCCUUAGCAAGUAAUGUCAAUACAGAAGCACUGAUAGGAAUAUUAUUCAAUCACAUUGUUUCGACCUACCUUAAAUGGUACAAUACAUUUUGUCAUUUAUACAAAUAUAAUAUACCUGGUGCUUUGACGAUACAGAAAACAUAUUUUUCUUUUGAUUGGUUUUCUUUGUUUAAAACAUGCCAAAAGAAUAAUUGUCAUUGAUGAAAUAUAAAAUGUAUAAAAUUAAUGUAUAAUUAAUUGUAUUUCGUUGUAUUACAGGUAACGUUGAUAAUGUUCUCAUGAAGUGUAACGGUAUAACCUAGUGCAAUCUUGUAGUAUGUAACAAAAACUACUACACGAGACAUAAUAAACAACUAUUAAACAAGUAACAACAAAUAACAUCACACUUAUAUGAUUUAUUUUAUAUAGUCAAAUAUUUCUGCUUUUUGUAAAUAUAAAUUGUUGUUAAUGUCAGAAUGAUGAUUUUGCAUGUCAAAGUUGUUGAAUUGAGGUCAAAUCGAUACUGACAAAUUAAUAUCACUAGGAGCAAAAGGGAUCUUGAAUAUCACUAACAAUAUUAUAUAAAUGCAUAAAAGGUAUUUGGAUAAUGUCUGUACAUUUUAUCAGAAUAUACUUAACUAAAGCAAACAAUGUUUACAUUCACGUGUAUUUAUUAUGAUACAGGGUAUUUAAUUAUCCCUCUGGGACCCUUUCGUUUGACUGGCCGACUAGGUGGUACGAUAAAUCACAAAAAUUCCCCUAAAUUUACAGAAACAAGUUAAAACCCUUCGACAAUGGUAUAAAUACACCUGCCAAUGACCCUGCAAUUUAUUUUCAUAAGGACAAAACCGAUGUAAGUAAAAUCUUAAAAUUGUAUCUUACACUAUUGUUUAAAGCUAUUCAUGAAAAUUUCUACGCAAUAAAUGUUUUUGCAGAGUUACGCUGUAUGUAAAUGUCUUAUACGCACAACAUGUAUGAUAAUGCUGCCUCUUUCCACAUAAAGAUUCAUAAUUUCAUCGUUUUGUUCAGGUCUAAUAUGUCGAAAAAUACAUUAACUGUAGGUACAGGUUUGCCAAAAAUAUGAUAAGCGCAUAAACAGCACCAGAUGCACAUUUCGAAAAUUAAUGCUCUUAGACCAAAAUGUUGAAAAUCCAACCCAAAAUAUAAACGUUGAAGAGCUUAUAAAAUUAAAAAUGACCUAAAGUAUAGUCAAAUUCAGACAAGGAAUAGCAAGGUCGGUGUUAUAUAUUUUGCAAUGACAUACGCAAAUUAAUUAACUGGGGACAUGCACCAAUUGCAAUGCAGACCUAUACAAAACAUCAAAAUAUUUAUGAUGAAAACUUCACUGGCGAAAUGAAAUCGUAGUUUAAAUGUUUCCAUUUUGGUCAAAAAAAUUGUAUUGACAGUUUUUAUUUUUGCUAAAGCUAAGAUUCCUUUGUUAGUCAUAUGAUCAUACAGCAUAGCAUGUGAUUACAAAUAAAUAUAAAUGUUAAAAGAUCAUAGAUGUCAUACCAAAAGCCAUUUUUAGACUUUAAUUCCAGGAUAACGAACAACACAUAAACCAUGACAAAUUCUAAGGAUUUAGCAAUAAAUCCUACUAUAAUAUGAGAACAAGAGUUAAAUCGAGGGCCCCAGAGAGCGGUUACUGUUUUUGUAGAAUACAUUAGUGAAGUACGUUGUGUUAAAGGGAAUAAAUAUAUUCGAGAUAUUUGUCUAUCAUUUUCAAUCAUAUUAAAUGAAGAAACCAUAAUAAACUUUAAAUGCAUGCGUGAUGCCAAAUAUCAUUAAUGACGACACAUAAGGUUAAUCGUCAAACAAUAUUAACACUUUUUUUAUCCAUGUAUAAAUGAUCCAUUUCAGUCCAUAAUGAAGUUCUUCUUUUGUUUGUUUGCUGUAAUGUUCAUCGUUGGUGCCUGUAUGCAGGCUGCCUCUGCUCGUUAUUGGAAUAACAAUCCUUGCUGGCCAAACCCAUGUCCAUAUUGGAAAAAAUGUAUACCAAACAACUGGGGAUGGAGACGUUAUAAAUGUGUUAGUUAUGGACGGUACUACUGAACACGGUGCACAGAUCUUUUCUUUAUCAAGAAAUAAAAUUUAAAUCUUUAAA